UCUAGAUUAGAGUUUGAUCCUGGCUCAGAUUGAACGCUGGCGGCAGGCCUAACACAUGCAAGUCGAGCGGUAGAGAGAAGCUUGCUUCUCUUGAGAGCGGCGGACGGGUGAGUAAUGCCUAGGAAUCUGCCUGGUAGUGGGGGAUAACGCUCGGAAACGGACGCUAAUACCGCAUACGUCCUACGGGAGAAAGCAGGGGACCUUCGGGCCUUGCGCUAUCAGAUGAGCCUAGGUCGGAUUAGCUAGUUGGUGAGGUAAUGGCUCACCAAGGCGACGAUCCGUAACUGGUCUGAGAGGAUGAUCAGUCACACUGGAACUGAGACACGGUCCAGACUCCUACGGGAGGCAGCAGUGGGGAAUAUUGGACAAUGGGCGAAAGCCUGAUCCAGCCAUGCCGCGUGUGUGAAGAAGGUCUUCGGAUUGUAAAGCACUUUAAGUUGGGAGGAAGGAUUGUAGAUUAAUACUCUGCAAUUUUGACGUUACCGACAGAAUAAGCACCGGCUAACCCUGUGCCAGCAGCCGCGGUAAUACAGAGGGUGCAAGCGUUAAU
rnacentral:rRNA from 1 species